rnacentral:rRNA from 1 species
UACGUAGGGUCCGAGCGUUUGUCCGGAAUUACUGGGCGUAAAGAGCUCGUAGGUGGUUUGUCGCGUUGUUCGUGAAAACUCACAGCUCAACUGUGGGCGUGCGGGCGAUACGGGCAGACUAGAGUACUGCAGGGGAGACUGGAAUUCCUGGUGUAGCGGUGGAAUGCGCAGAUAUCAGGAGGAACACCGGUGGCGAAGGCGGGGUCUCUGGGCAGUAACUGACGCUGGAGGAGCGAAAAGCGUGGGGAGCGAACAGG